rnacentral:rRNA from 1 species
UACGGAGGAUCCGAGCGUUAUCCGGAUUUAUUGGGUUUAAAGGGUGCGCAGGCGGGAGAUUAAGUCGGCGGUGAAAUUUUGCAGCUCAACUGUAAAAGUGCCUUCGAAACUGGUUUCCUUGAGUGUAGAUGAAGUAGGCGGAAUUUGUGGUGUAGCGGUGAAAUGCAUAGAUAUCACGAGGAACUCCGAUUGCGCAGGCAGCUUACUAAACUACUACUGACGCUCAUGCACGAAGGCGUGGGGAUCAAACAGGAUUAGAUACCCGCGUA